rnacentral:lncRNA from 1 species
UUUCAAAACAAUUACAAUAAGAGGUGUGUUAGGAACACAGUCUACAGUGAGCUGGAGGACAGGCCUCAUGGAGAACAGAGAUUGGGAACUGGGCAUCCUGCCAGUCGUGGAGUGACGAAGCAAGUUCAAGUUGCAGAGGCUAGAUCACUCAUAUUUACCAGCCACUUUAUAGUCAAAUCAAAUCAUCAGCCCUCCAAAGCUGCUGCUGCAACUGUUAUCUCCAUUUUACAGCAAUGGCUGCUCUUCCCACUGGAGAUUGGGAGUAUCCUGAGAGUCGGGACAUUAUUAUGCUUGUUCUCCACCAAAUCCCCAGAGCCCCUCACAGGGCAGGCUGGAGAGAUGCUGCUGAGAUCCGCUGAACUGCACUUUGGAGUGUCCUGGGUUUCUCUGUAUAUCUUUGGAGAAGGAAUCUCACCAUGUAGCCCUGGCUGGCUUGGAACUCACUAGGCAGACCAAGAAAUUGCAGCAACCCUAUCACCUCAACCUCCUGAGUCCUAACACUGAAGGCAUGUGCCACCAUGCCUGGCUGCAUAGCUUUUUUUUUUUUUUAACAACUUACAUGUAAAUUAAUUUAAACUAAAUUAAACAUAAAAUUCAGAGUCUCAGCUGACCCUUGUAUGGAGUGCUUCGCAACUGUGGGGGGUGGCUAGCAUAGAACUGCAGUCUUACCCUAUAAAGGGGCUUAUGAGUGAGAGAUGGAGCCUGGCAUGCAGAAAGAGGGAAGUAAUCCUGGUGUGUAUGUGUGUGUGUGUGUGUGUGUGUGUGUGGCGGGGGAAUGGUGACAGACCCUUAUGGAGCAGGGACCACUUGUGGAAGGAAGGGUUUUUGAAGAGAAUCAGAAUCCCACAAUCCCAUGGGACAGCACAG